UACGUAGGGUGCGAGCGUUGUCCGGAAUUAUUGGGCGUAAAGAGCUCGUAGGCGGUCUGUCGCGUCGAUCGUGAAAACUUGGGGCUUAACCCUGAGCUUGCGGUCGAUACGGGCAUGACUGGAGUUCGGCAGGGGAGACUGGAAUUCCUGGUGAGCGGUGAAAUGCGCAGAUAUCAGGAGGAACACCGGUGGCGAAGGCGGGUCUCUGGGCCGAUACUGACGCUGAGGAGCGAAAGCGUGGGGAGCGACUGAUCAGGAACCU
rnacentral:rRNA from 1 species